GACGAACGCUGGCGGCGCGCUUAACACAUGCAAGUCGAACGGAAAGGCCUGCUUUCCCUUGUGGAUUGCGGGUACUUGAGUGGCGAACGGGUGAGUAACACGUGAGUGAUCUGCCCCCAACUUGGGUAUAAGCCUGGGAAACUGGGUCUAAUUCCCGAUAGGACUGCAGGGUGGUGCCUGUGGUGGAAAACGAUUUUCUAGUGGUUGGGGAUGAGCUCGCGGCCUAUCAGCUUGUUGGUGGGGUAAUGGCCUACCAAGGCGGCGACGGGUAGCCGGCCUGGGAGGGUGGACGGCCACAUUGGGACUGAGAUACGGCCCAGACUCCUACGGGAGGCAGCAGUGGGGAAUAGUGCACAAUGGGCGGAAGCCUGAUGCAGCGACGCCGCGUGGGGGAUGACGGCCUUCGGGUUGUAAACUCCUUUCGACCGCGAGGAAGCCACCUGGUUGGAAGGGUGGUGACGGUAGUGGUAGAAGAAGCACCGGCUAACUACGUG
rnacentral:rRNA from 1 species